CCUACGGGUGGCAGCAGUAGGGAAUUUUCGUCAAUGGGCGCAAGCCUGAACGAGCCAUGCCGCGUGAACGAUGAAGGUCUUCGGAUCGUAACGCUCUGUUGAAGGGGAAAAAGAGCGGAGAGAGGAAAUGGUCUCCGAUUGAUAUUACCCUUCGAGGAAGUCACGGCUAACUACGUGCCAGCGGCCGCGGUAAUACGUGGGUGGCGAGCGUUAUAGGGAAUGAUUGGGCGUAAAGGGUGCGUAGGAGGCGUGCUAAGUCUGGGGUGAAUGGUACGGGCUCAACCGGUACAGGCUCUGGAAAGUGGCGGGCUAGAGAGCAGAAGAGGGCGGUGGAACUCCAUGUGUAGCGGUGAAAUGCGUAGAUAUAUGGAAGAACACCAGUGGCGAAGGCGGCCGCCUGGCCUGUUACUGACGCUGAGGCACGAAAGCGUGGGGAGCAAAUAGGAUUAGAUACCCCUGUAGUC
rnacentral:rRNA from 1 species